UCUGGUUAUUUUGUUGCUUUUGUUUUGGUUUGUUUUGGUCCUUUUGCGCACGGAGACGGUUGAUAAAAAGGUCGGAGUGGUUGCGCUAACAGCAGCCACUCCUCAGAAGUCUCUCAACCUGAGCAGAAGAGCUAAUGGACGUCUCGAGGCUUCUCCUGUCCGUCGUCAUGGUGAUGUCCACAUCUGAUGGGAUAUCAGGUACAUCAGAUUCUUCCUGCUUUCACCUGGACCAGGAUAGAUAUAAAGUUAUUGAAGGCGAAGCAUUUUAUUAUGUGCCCUUCGAUAUGGAUGACCCCAACCUGCCUGAUGAAAACAUUACGUGGUUCAAAAACGGCCCAGAGGUCAUGAAUAUCACCACAGACGAGACACACAGGAUACAUUACCAUGGAGGAGCGCUGCUUUUCUUAAACAUCAGCACUGAUGAUGCUGGCUACUAUUCU